rnacentral:rRNA from 1 species
CAGUAGCCGCGGUAAUACGAAGGGGGCUAGCGUUGCUCGGAAUCACUGGGCGUAAAGGGUGCGUAGGCGGGUCUUUAAGUCAGAGGUGAAAUCCUGGAGCUCAACUCCAGAACUGCCUUUGAUACUGAGGAUCUUGAGUUCGGGAGAGGUGAGUGGAACUGCGAGUGUAGAGGUGAAAUUCGUAGAUAUUCGCAAGAACACCAGUGGCGAAGGCGGCUCACUGGCCCGAUACUGACGCUGAGGCACGAAAGCGUGGGGAGCAAACAGGAUUAGAUACCCCAGUAGUCCCUGUCUCUUAUAC